rnacentral:rRNA from 1 species
AUGCAGUCUAUCCACCUCAGCACCCUUGCCACAUCAUCAGUUUCUCUUAAUUAUUUUGAUCAUGCAUCUCACCAAGUCACAUUAUUUUACAAAAUAAAAAUAAAAAUGAUUCGAUUGUCUGUAAACCGAAAGGCCUCUGUAACCCAAGAGUCGUCCUCCCUUGGCUUUCCCCAACAUCUUCUCAAUCUCCGCUUCCUGCACGAUCCAUCAACUAAUUACGUGGCUAUAUUAAUCUCCGGCAACCGAUCUACUUCGUCUUCAUCUUCCACUGAAACAGAUGGAAGAGUAACAGAUAGCUGUUCCUCCUUUUAA